CUAAUUGGAGAAGACACUUUUGAACAUGAUUAAGUUGUGUAACGUAUUUUCGGAAUAGACGUUAUGCUACAUCCAUAAGGAGGAUGUUUCUAUAUAUACUAGGCAUAUCAAGUUUAUGCAUGAAAUUCAGUCUCUCCUGUAGCGUCCAUGUCUGCUUGACAUGGGAAGCUAAAAAAGAGAACAUAACUUUCAAAUGUAAAGUUAGCAAGUUACUAUUUAAAGUUUACUUUCUUAAUCCGAAAAACGAAGAACAAGGAUACUGUAUAAGCCCUAUACCAGUCCCAGAGUGUUAUUCGUCACAUAAUGUUAUUACGCAGGAUCGACAAACAAACACAACUGUCCUUGUAAUACAAAGGCACGUAGAUAACAAACUCAAUGGACCUUGGAAAUGUUAUCAUGGUACAAACGUAGAUGCGGCAAUUAUUAAUGUUACAGUCAUAGAAAAAGUAACAUUCAAGACAGUAUUUAAGAAUGAUAAUUGUGGUGAACAACAUAUGGCAUGGACAUUCAUCGGAGUUAUGAUAGGCGUAGUUUUAAUCUUUAUUUUGGGGGCAGUUCUCAAAGGAUG